AAUAAUUGAAGAGAGAAGAGUCGUAAGAUAUUUUACAAUUUGUUUGUCCGAAAUGUGAUUGAUAGCUAGAUAUUUUACAAAAUAUUGUUCCCUGCUCAGAACGUAAGGUGAUGAGUGCUCGACGCCUGAGGACCAUGGUUUCCUGUUCAGAUUCAGAUAUCCAUUAAAAUACUACCGAUGUUGUAUGAAUAUUUUCCUUCCACCGUAUUUCGUCCAUUAAAUCCCAGAGUUAUUUCACUUGAUGUACAUUAAUAGUGACUUAUCUAGGUAACUAAGC
rnacentral:lncRNA from 1 species